rnacentral:rRNA from 2 species
GUGGACGCCAGUCUGCAUGGAGCCGACCUUGAAAUACCACCCUUUAAUGUUUGAUGUUCUAACGUGGACCCGUAAUCCGGGUUGCGGACAGUGUCUGGUGGGUAGUUUGACUGGGGCGGUCUCCUCCUAAAGAGUAACGGAGGAGCACGAAGGUUGGCUAAUCCUGGUCGGACAUCAGGAGGUUAGUGCAAUGGCAUAAGCCAGCUUGACUGCGAGCGUGACGGCGCGAGCAGGUGCGAAAGCAGGUCAUAGUGAUCCGGUGGUUCUGAAUGGAAGGGCCAUCGCUCAACGGAUAAAAGGUACUCCGGGGAUAACAGGCUGAUACCGCCCAAGAGUUCAUAUCGACGGCGGUGUUUGGCACCUCGAUGUCGGCUCAUCACAUCCUGGGGCUGAAGUAGGUCCCAAGGGUAUGGCUGUUCGCCAUUUAAAGUGGUACGCGAGCUGGGUUUAGAACGUCGUGAGACAGUUCGGUCCCUAUCUGCCGUGGGCGCUGGAGAACUGAGGGGGGCUGCUCCUAGUACGAGAGGACCGGAGUGGACGCAUCACUGGUGUUCGGGUUGUCAUGCCAAUGGCACUGCCCGGUAGCUAAAUGCGGAAGAGAUAAGUGCUGAAAGCAUCUAAGCACGAAACUUGCCCCGAGAUGAGUUCUCCCUGAGACUUUAAGUCUCCUGAAGGAACGUUGAAGACGACGACGUUGAUAGGCCGGGUGUGUAAGCGCAGCGAUGCGUUGAGCUAACCGGUACUAAUGAACCGUGAGGCUUAACCUUACAACGCCGAAG